rnacentral:rRNA from 1 species
GGAGGUUACUGCUAUCGGUGUUCGCCUAACCCAUGCGAGUCAUAUGUUCUUCGUGAACAUGGCGUACUGCUCAGUAACACGUGAAUAACCUGCCCUUGGGACCGGCAUAACCCCGGGAAACUGGGGAUAAUUCCGGAUACCGCAUAUAUGCUGGAAUGCUUUAUGCGUGAAAUGGAUUCGUCUGCCCAAGGAUGGGUCUGCGGCCUAUCAGGUAGUAGUGGGUGUAAUGUACCUACUACCCUACGACGGGUACGGGUUGUGAGAGCAAGAGCCCGGAGAUGGAUUCUGAGACAUGAAUCCAGGCCCUACGGGGCGCACCAGGCGCGAAAACUUUACAAUGCGGGAAACCGUGAUAAGGGGACACCGAGUGCCAGCAACAUUUGUUGGCUGUCCAGGUGUGUAAACUACACCUGUUAGCAAGGGCCGGGCAAGACCGGUGC